ACGCUGGCGGCGUGCCUAAUACAUGCAAGUCGAACGCUUCUUUUUCCACCGGAGCUUGCUCCACCGGAAAAAGAGGAGUGGCGAACGGGUGAGUAACACGUGGGUAACCUGCCCAUCAGAAGGGGAUAACACUUGGAAACAGGUGCUAAUACCGUAUAACAAUCGAAACCGCAUGGUUUUGAUUUGAAAGGCGCUUUCGGGUGUCGCUGAUGGAUGGACCCGCGGUGCAUUAGCUAGUUGGUGAGGUAACGGCUCACCAAGGCGACGAUGCAUAGCCGACCUGAGAGGGUGAUCGGCCACAUUGGGACUGAGACACGGCCCAAACUCCUACGGGAGGCAGCAGUAGGGAAUCUUCGGCAAUGGACGAAAGUCUGACCGAGCAACGCCGCGUGAGUGAAGAAGGUUUUCGGAUCGUAAAACUCUGUUGUUAGAGAAGAACAAGGAUGAGAGUAACUGUUCAUCCCUUGACGGUAUCUAACCAGAAAGCCACGGCUAACUACGUGCCAGCAGCCGCGGUAAUACGUAGGUGGCAAGCGUUGUCCGGAUUUAUUGGGCGUAAAGCGAGCGCAGGCGGUUUCUUAAGUCUGAUGUGAAAGCCCCCGGCUCAACCGGGGAGGGUCAUUGGAAACUGGGAGACUUGAGUGCAGAAGAGGAGAGUGGAAUUCCAUGUGUAGCGGUGAAAUGCGUAGAUAUAUGGAGGAACACCAGUGGCGAAGGCGGCUCUCUGGUCUGUAACUGACGCUGAGGCUCGAAAGCGUGGGGAGCAAACAGGAUUAGAUACCCUGGUAGUCCACGCCGUAAACGAUGAGUGCUAAGUGUUGGAGGGUUUCCGCCCUUCAGUGCUGCAGCUAACGCAUUAAGCACUCCGCCUGGGGAGUACGACCGCAAGGUUGAAACUCAAAGGAAUUGACGGGGGCCCGCACAAGCGGUGGAGCAUGUGGUUUAAUUCGAAGCAACGCGAAGAACCUUACCAGGUCUUGACAUCCUUUGACCACUCUAGAGAUAGAGCUUCCCCUUCGGGGGCAAAGUGACAGGUGGUGCAUGGUUGUCGUCAGCUCGUGUCGUGAGAUGUUGGGUUAAGUCCCGCAACGAGCGCAACCCUUAUUGUUAGUUGCCAUCAUUUAGUUGGGCACUCUAGCAAGACUGCCGGUGACAAACCGGAGGAAGGUGGGGAUGACGUCAAAUCAUCAUGCCCCUUAUGACCUGGGCUACACACGUGCUACAAUGGGAAGUACAACGAGUCGCAAAGUCGCGAGGCUAAGCUAAUCUCUUAAAGCUUCUCUCAGUUCGGAUUGUAGGCUGCAACUCGCCUACAUGAAGCCGGAAUCGCUAGUAAUCGCGGAUCAGCACGCCGCGGUGAAUACGUUCCCGGGCCUUGUACACACCGCCCGUCACACCACGAGAGUUUGUAACACCCGAAGUCGGUGAGGUAACCUUUUGGAGCCAGCCGCCUAAGGUGGGAUAGAUGAUUGG
rnacentral:rRNA from 1 species